rnacentral:rRNA from 1 species
UAAAACGUAGGAGGCGAGCGUUAUCCGGAUUCACUGGGCGUAAAGCGCGUGCAGGCGGUUCGGUAAGUUGGGUAUGAAAUCUCCCGGCUCAACUGGGAGAGGUUAUCCAAUACUACCGGACUUGAGAGUGAUAGAGGAAGAUGGAAUUCCCGGUGUAGUGGUGAAAUGCGUAGAUAUCGGGAGGAACACCAGUGGCGAAAGCGAUCUUCUGGAUCAUUUCUGACGCUCAGACGCGAAAGCUAGGGUAGUAAACGGGAUUAGAGACCCCGGUAAUCCUAGCCGUAAACGAUGUAAACUUGGCGUCGGUGGCUUAAACACCAUCGGUGCCGCAGCUAACGCGAUAAGUUUACCGCCUGGGGACUACGAUCGCAAGAUUAAAACUUAAAUGAAUUGACGG